CCCUUAGAUGUCCGGGGCUGCACGCGCGCUACACUGAAGGAAUCAGCGUGCUAAAACCAUUGUCGAAAGGCAUUGGUAAACCCAUUAAAAUCCUACGUGAUUGGGAUCGGGAAUUGCAAUUAUUUCCCUCGAACGAGGAAUUCCCAGUAAGUGUGGGUCAUAAGCUCGCGUUGAUUACGUCCCUGCCCUUUGUACACACCGCCCGUCGCUGCCCGGGACUGAGCCGUUUCGAGAAAAGCGGGGACUGCUGCUGUCGGGGCUUUCGGGCCUUGGCUUCGGUGGAAACCGCUUUAAUCGCAGUGGCUUGAACCGGGCAAAAGUCGUAACA
rnacentral:rRNA from 1 species